UACGUAGGGUGCGAGCGUUGUCCGGAAUUACUGGGCGUAAAGCGUGCGCAGACGGUUGCGUAAGUCAGAUGUGAAAGCCCCGGGCUCAACCUGGGAAUUGCAUUUGAGACUGCGUAGCUAGGGUGCGGAAGAGGGAAGCGGAAUUUCCGGUGUAGCGGUGAAAUGCGUAGAUAUCGGAAGGAACACCAGUGGCGAAAGCGGCUUCCUGGUCCAGCACCGACGUCAGGCACGAAAGCGUGGGGAGCAAACAGG
rnacentral:rRNA from 1 species